GACGAACGCUGGCGGCGUGCUUAACACAUGCAAGUCGAACGGAAAGGCCCUGCUUUUGUGGGGUGCUCGAGUGGCAAACGGGUGAGUAACACGUGAGUAACCUGCCCUUGACUUUGGGAAAACUUCAGGAAACUGGGGCUAAUACCGGAUAGGAGCUCCUGCUGCAUGGUGGGGGUUGGAAAGUUUCGGCGGUUGGGGAUGGGCUCGCGGCUUAUCAGCUUGUUGGUGGGGUAGUGGCUUACCAAGGCGUUGACGGGUAGCCGGCCUGAGAGGGUGACCGGCCACAUUGGGACUGAGAUACGGCCCAGACUCCUACGGGAGGCAGCAGUGGGGAAUAUUGCACAAUGGGCGGAAGCCUGAUGCAGCAACGCCGCGUGCGGGAUGACGGCCUUCGGGUUGUAAACCGCUUUCGCCUGUGACGAAGCGUGAGUGACGGUAAUGGGUAAAGAAGCACCGGCUAACUACGUG
rnacentral:rRNA from 1 species